rnacentral:rRNA from 1 species
ACUCAAAGGAAUUGACGGGGACCCGCACAAGCAGUGGAGCAUGUGGUUUAAUUCGAAGCUACACGAAGAACCUUAUCCGAGGCUUGACAUCUUCCGAAGGCUUGAGAAAUCAGGCCGUGCCCGCAAGGGAGCGGAAUGACAGGUGCUGCAUGGCCGUCGUCAGCUCGUGUCGUGAGAUGUUGGGUUAAGUCCCGCAACGAGCGCAACCCUUAUCGUAUGUUGUAUUUUUCAUACGAGACUGCCCGGGCCAACCGGGAGGAAGGUGGGGAUGACGUCAGGUCCGCAUGGCCCUUACGCCUCGGGCUACACACGUGCUACAAUGGCCGGUACAAAGGGUUGCCAAACCGCAAGGUGGAGCUAAUCCCAUCAAAACCGGUCCCAGUUCGGAUUAGAGGCUGCAACUCGCCUCUAUGAAGCCGGAAUUGCUAGUAACCGUGGGUCAGCAUACCGCGGUGAAUACGUUCCCGGGUCUUGUACACACCGCCCGU